UACGGAGGGUGCAAGCGUUAAUCGGAAUUACUGGGCGUAAAGCGCACGCAGGUGGCUAAGUCAGUCGAUUGUGAAAGCCCCGGGCUUAACCUGGGAAUGGCAGUGGAAACUGGCGAACUGGAGUGUGGCAGAGGGGGGUGGAAUUCCGCGUGUAGCAGUGAAAUGCGUAGAGAUGCGGAGGAACACCGAUGGCGAAGGCAGCCCCCUGGGCUAACACUGACGCUCAGGCACGAAAGCGUGGGGAGCAAACAGG
rnacentral:rRNA from 1 species